rnacentral:rRNA from 1 species
UCAAAUUUGAAAUCUGGCUGUCUUCGACGUCCGAGUUGUAAUUUGUAGAGGAUGCUUCUGAGUGGCCACCGACCUAAGUUCCUUGGAACAGGACGUCAUAGAGGGUGAGAAUCCCGUAUGCGGUCGGAAAGGCGCUCUAUACGUAGCUCCUUCGACGAGUCGAGUUGUUUGGGAAUGCAGCUCUAAAUGGGAGGUAAAUUUCUUCUAAAGCUAAAUAUUGGCCAGAGACCGAUAGCGCACAAGUAGAGUGAUCGAAAGAUGAAAAGCACUUUGGAAAGAGAGUUAAAAAGCACGUGAAAUUGUUAAAAGGGAAGGGAUUGCAACCAGACUUGCUCGCGGUGUUCCGCCGGUCUUCUGACCGGUCUACUCGCCGCGUUGCAGGCCAGCAUCGUCUGGUGCCGCUGGAUAAGACUUGAGGAAUGUAGCUCCCUCGGGAGUGUUAUAGCCUCUUGUGAUGCAGCGAGCGCCGGGCGAGGUCCGCGCUUCGGCUAGGAUGCUGGCGUAAUGGUCGUAAUCCGCCCGUCUUGAAACACGGACCAAGGAGUCUAACAUCUAUGCGAGUGUUCGGGUGUCAAACCCCUACGCGUAAUGAAAGUGAACGGAGGUGAGAACCGCAAGGUGCAUCAUCGACCGAUCCUGAUGUCUUCGGAUGGAUUUGAGUAAGAGCAUAGCUGUUGGGACCCGAAAGAUGGUGAACUAUGCCUGAA